rnacentral:rRNA from 1 species
CAGACCUSUAAUCGGAAAAGACUACCCGCUG